rnacentral:rRNA from 1 species
AGAGUUUGAUCCUGGCUCAGGAUGAACGCUAGCUACAGGCUUAACACAUGCAAGUCGAGGGGAAACGACAUCGAAAGCUUGCUUUUGAUGGGCGUCGACCGGCGCACGGGUGAGUAACGCGUAUCCAACCUGCCCAUCACUUGGGGAUGACCUUGCGAAAGUAAGACUAAUACCCAAUGACGUCUCUAGAAGACAUCUGAAAGAGAUUAAAGAUUUAUCGGUGAUGGAUGGGGAUGCGUCUGAUUAGCUUGUUGGCGGGGUAACGGCCACCAAGGCGACGAUCAGUAGGGGUUCUGAGAGGAAGGUCCCCCANAUUGGAACUGAGACACGGUCCAAACUCUACGGGAGGCA